UCAAAAAAAAAAUCAUUUUCGUUUUUUAUACGGAAAUAAAGCAAAAUUUUUCUUAGUUUAAUUUCAACUUUAGCAAUUGCAUUUAAUACUCAAACAGCGCAUAGCUAAAGAACGUUUUUCCGGAAAGCUUAUAAAUUUUAUUUUCCACUUCAUGGAAAUAAAAUUCGCCUUGUUGGAUACAGCCUCCGAUUUGGUGUUGCUGGGUUUGGUUGUGAUGUUUUUGGCCACACUGUUGCAGCUGUUGAAAUUAGUCGUGGAGCAGUGGCCUUUCCUGUGUCCAAGCUUGAUUUGCCCGUAUAUAUCAACUUUUAUGAAAAUUGAUUAAGCUUCUACUGAAAGAAAAAGAACACAAUAAUCAAUAAUGGCUUUAGAGUAUUUUGCAUAUGUUUUAUCUCAAGAUGAAGAUGUAGGUACCCUUCAUCAUUGGAAAGACGUUUGUAUCGUAAGGCAGAAGAUCCUUUCCUGUUGAAUACAACUGGGGUUAUUGAUAGCCAACGAAAGGCAGAAGAAUAAUAGCAAUAUCUACAGAGAAACAGAUCUUCACACAAAAUUUGGAGUCCUUUCUUUGCCACCCAGAUGCAGGAUAUAUUUGGAUGUUUGUUUAAAAUCUGAGAAUUUGAGUUUCUGAAAAUAAAUGUAUACGCUUUAAUGCAAAAUAAUGACCAGUGCACAGCGUCAGCAAAGAGAUAAAACGUAAUCGGCGGCCACGAAAAAAUUCCAAGACAAGUGAAAACCCUUUAAGACGAAAACGAAACGAAAACAAAAAGCAAAUAAAUGAAU
rnacentral:lncRNA from 1 species